rnacentral:rRNA from 1 species
UACGAAGGGGGCUAGCGUUGCUCGGAAUCACUGGGCGUAAAGCGCACGUAGGCGGCUUCUUAAGUCAGGGGUGAAAUCCUGGAGCUCAACUCCAGAACUGCCUUUGAUACUGAGAGGCUCGAGUCCGGGAGAGGUGAGUGGAACUCCGAGUGUAGAGGUGAAAUUCGUAGAUAUUCGGAAGAACACCAGUGGCGAAGGCGGCUCACUGGCCCGGUACUGACGCUGAGGUGCGAAAGCGUGGGGAGCGAACAGG